rnacentral:rRNA from 1 species
GGGUUGUGAGGUUAAGCGACUAAGCGUACACGGUGGAUGCCCUGGCAGUCAGAGGCGAUGAAGGACGUGCUAAUCUGCGAUAAGCGCCGGUAAGGUGAUAUGAACCGUUAUAACCGGCGAUUUCCGAAUGGGGAAACCCAGUGUGAUUCGUCACACUAUCAUUAACUGAAUCCAUAGGUUAAUGAGGCGAACCGGGGGAACUGAAACAUCUAAGUACCCCGAGGAAAAGAAAUCAACCGAGAUUCCCCCAGUAGCGGCGAGCGAACGGGGAGGAGCCCAGAGCCUGAAUCAGCAUGUGUGUUAGUGGAAGCGUCUGGAAAGGCGCGCGAUACAGGGUGACAGCCCCGUACACAAAAGCGCAUGUGCUGUGAGCUCGAUGAGUAGGGCGGGACACGUGGUAUCCUGUCUGAAUAUGGGGGGACCAUCCUCCAAGGCUAAAUACUCCUGACUGACCGAUAGUGAACCAGUACCGUGAGGGAAAGGCGAAAAGAACCCCGGCGAGGGGAGUGAAAAAGAACCUGAAACCGUGUACGUACAAGCAGUGGGAGCACCCUUUGGGGU